UACAGAGGGUGCAAGCGUUGUCCGGAAUUAUUGGGCGUAAAGCGCGCGUAGGCGGCUUUGCAAGUCGGGUGUGAAAGCCCUCAGCUCAACUGAGGAAGUGCGCCCGAAACUGCAGAGCUUGAGUGCCGGAGAGGGUGGCGGAAUUCCCCAAGUAGAGGUGAAAUUCGUAGAUAUGGGGAGGAACACCGGUGGCGAAGGCGGCCACCUGGACGGUAACUGACGCUGAGACGCGAAAGCGUGGGGAGCAAACAGG
rnacentral:rRNA from 1 species